GCGCGAAAACUCUACAAUGCAGGCAAACUGCGAUAGGGGAACAUCGAGUGAUACUCAUCUUGGGUGUCUGUCCUCCCGUCUAAAAAACGGGAGUUAGCAAGGGCCGGGCAAGACCGGUGCCAGCCGCCGCGGUAAUACCGGCGGCUCGAGUGGUGGCCGAUAUUAUUGAGUCUAAAGGGUCCGUAGCCGGCUUUGCAAGUCUUUUGGGAAAUCCAGCGGCUUAACCGUUGGUCGUCCGGGAGAUACUACAUUGCUUGGGGACUGGGGAGAGGUAGGAGGUACUCAGGGGGUAGAGUGAAAUCCUGUAAUCCUUUGGGGACCACCGGUGGCGAAGGCGUCCUACCAGAACAGGUCCGAGGUGAGGGACGAAAGCUAGGGGCACGAACCGGAUUAGAUACCCGGGUAGUCCUAGCCGUAAACGAUGCUCGCUAGGUGUCACAACAAUCGUGAAUUGUUGUGGUGCCGUAGGGAAGCCGUGAAGCGAGCCACUUGGGAAUACGACCGCAAAGGUUGAAAACUUAAAGGGAAUUGGGCGGGGGAGCACCACAACGGGUGAGG
rnacentral:rRNA from 1 species